GACGAACGCUGGCGGCGUGCUUAACACAUGCAAGUCGAACGAUGAAGAAAAGAAUUGAAGCUUCGGCAGAAAUUCAUUUCGGAUUAGUGGCAGACGGGUGAGUAACGCGUGAGCAACCUACCUCUUACAAAGGGAUAGCCUCGGGAAACCGGGAUUAAUACCAUAUACAUUGCGACGAAGCAUUUCGAUGCAAUCAAAGCUACGGCGGUAAGAGAUGGGCUCGCGUCCCAUUAACCAGAUGGUGAGGUAACGGCUCACCAUAGUAACGAUGGGUAACCGGCCUGAGAGGGUGAACGGUCACACUGGAACUGAGACACGGUCCAGACUCCUACGGGAGGCAGCAGUGGGGAAUAUUGCACAAUGGAGGGAACUCUGAUGCAGCGACGCCGCGUGAGUGAUGAAGGAAUUCGUUUCGUAAAACUCUGUUCUAUGGGAAGAAAAGGACUGUACCAUAGGAGAAAGCUCCGGCUAAAUACGUG
rnacentral:rRNA from 1 species